rnacentral:hammerhead_ribozyme from 1 species
AUCCAGUUGAGGAGUGCCAAAUAGGACGAAAAGCGCGUUUUGGAU